GGCGCACGGGUGCGUAACACGUAAGCAAUCUACCCUGAACUCUGGGAUAACCCUCCGAGAGGAGGGCUAAUACUGGAUAGGGUCCCCGAGGUGUAGGCCGCGGGGGGAAAACGGGCCUCUAUUUAUGCUCGUGGUUCAGGAUGAGCUUGCGGCCCAUUAGCUAGUUGGUAGGGUAACGGCCUACCGAGGCAACGAUGGGUAGCUGGUCUGAGAGGAUGAUCAGCCACACUGGCACUGAGACACGGGCCAGACUCAUACGGGAGGCAGCAGUGGGGAAUUUUGCGCAAUGGGCGAAAGCCUGACGCAGUAACGCCGCGUGGAGGAUGAAGGCCUUCGGGUUGUAAACUCCUGUCAGGGGGAACGACGGGGAAAGGGUGACAAGCCUUUUCCUCCAGACGGUACCUCCAAAGGAAGCCCCGGCUAAUUCCGUGCCAGCAGCCGC
rnacentral:rRNA from 1 species